rnacentral:rRNA from 1 species
UACCCGCUGAACUUAAGCAUAUAAAUAAGCAGGAG